rnacentral:rRNA from 1 species
GACGAACGCUGGCGGCGUGCUUAACACAUGCAAGUCGAACGGAAAGGCCCUUCGGGGUCCUCGAGUGGCGAACGGGUGAGUAACACGUGGGUGAUCUGCCCUGCACUUUGGGAUAAGCCUGGGAAACUGGGUCUAAUACCGGAUAGGACCACGGCAUUCAUGUGCUGUGGUGGAAAGCUUUUGCGGUGUGGGAUGGGCCCGCGGCCUAUCAGCUUGUUGGUGGGGUAAUGGCCUACCAAGGCGACGACGGGUAGCCGGCCUGAGAGGGUGACCGGCCACACUGGGACUGAGAUACGGCCCAGACUCCUACGGGAGGCAGCAGUGGGGAAUAUUGCACAAUGGGCGCAAGCCUGAUGCAGCGACGCCGCGUGAGGGAUGACGGCCUUCGGGUUGUAAACCUCUUUCGCCAGGGACGAAGCGCAAGUGACGGUACCUGGAGAAGAAGGACCGGCAAACUACGUG